rnacentral:misc_RNA from 1 species
GAUGAAGAACGCAGCGAAAUGCGAUACGUAAUGUGAAUUGCAGAUCUCUCAGUGAACCAUCGAAUUUUUGAACGCACAUAGCGCCCGCCGGUCAUUCCGGCGGGCAUGCCUGUCCGAGCGUCGAUGACGCCGCUCGAGCCCCCGUGCUCGGUGUUGGGGCGCUAGGUCUCCCAGAGGCCUAGGCCCCCAAGUAGCAGUGCGCGGUCCGGCUGCGGGCCCCGGGUACAGUAACUUCACUGUUGAGAUGCCCUGGGAGCCGCUGGCUGGGUCAGCCCUAAAACCCCCGACAUAGGCCUUCCUGUCCGCCCCCGGCGGGGAGGGAGACCGCCUAAUGUUGACCUCGGAUCAGGUAGGACUACCCGCUGAACUUAAGCAUAUCAAUAAGCGGAGGA